CUACACAGCUUGAAAGACAUUUCUUCCUACUGCUAAAAUACAGAAAGAUGGUGCUGACUGGGUUCCCUCUCCCCAUCUCAUCAACAGGAAGAGCACAUCAUUUCAAAUAUCGAAGUGGGUCCAUGUUUCUGUCAGGUGUCUCUGGACACACCUUAUGUAGUAUUAUCUCUCCUCUCAGAGCUGGGGAGAUUUCCAUCAUCUUCGUGGGAAGUUCGUGUUUCGAUUUGGAUUCCCAGCUUAUUGUGCAUGGCUUUUACCAAAAAACUUAUUUGAGCCCCAGUUUCAUGAUUUAAGACCUAAUAGUGAUAAUAAUAUUUAUUAAACUGGGAUGCUGAGAAGAUUGGAUAGAAAACCAUAAAUGCCUGGCUAAAUAAAUAUUUGUUUCUAUCUUUAUUUCUCCUUGCA
rnacentral:lncRNA from 1 species